AAGGGAGACCUAAUUCGGGUAUAAGACGAAAAAAUAGUAGUCGAAACCAAGAAUCAAUCCCAAAAGGUCGGAACGAGGUAUGUGGCUUUCAAACUAGGUUCUGGGUUCACAAAAGACCUGAAUCAGGAACAAGGGCUAUUAGCUCAGGUGGUUAGAGCGCACCCCUGAUAAGGGUGAGGUCCCUGGUUCGAGUCCAGGAUGGCCCACCUGUACAGGUGGCAAAAAGAAAGAAAAGAAGCGAGGAAUCAGCACCUUAUCUUACUUACAUAGUAAGAGAGAAUGCUGGCUCUGAGUUCAGAGUCCAGAGGAACCUUGAAAACUGCAUAGAGCUAGGUGAAAAAGCCAAAAAAGAAGACCGCAA
rnacentral:tRNA from 1 species